GCGGAGCCAUCCAAACAAUCCCUUCGGGGGUGCGUUUGGGGGAAGCUUAGCGGCGGACGGGUGAGUAACACGUGAGUAACCUGCCCCAAAGAGGAGGAUAACAUACCGAAAGGUAUGCUAAUACUGCAUAACAUAUAUGUGUCGCAUGGCAUAUAUAUCAAAGAUUUAUCGCUUUGGGAUGGACUCGCGGCCGAUUAGGUAGUUGGUGAGGUAAUGGCUCACCAAGCCGACGAUCGGUAGCCGGACUGAGAGGUUGAACGGCCACAUUGGGACUGAGACACGGCCCAAACUCCUACGGGAGGCAGCAGUGGGGAAUAUUGCACAAUGGGGGAAACCCUGAUGCAGCGACGCCGCGUGAACGAAGAAGUAUUUCGGUAUGUAAAGUUCUAUCAGCAGGGAAGAUAAUGACGGUACCUGACUAAGAAGCACCGGCUAAAUACGUG
rnacentral:rRNA from 1 species